AUAUACGAGCUCAGCAGAAGAAAACAAGCAUAAACUAACUUGAACAAAGACUAAAUAAAAAGAUCCAAUGAGAUGAACUCAAUAAUAGCGUCUAUAAAGAGCUAACUUUUACUCAGUUCAGGUUGAUAAUCCCUGGGCAAGCUGCUAAAAUUUCUUAUUCAACCAACCCUUGGCAUUUAUUCUUAUCUGAUUUUGUAGAGGCAAUCUUCUUCAUGUAGAGGCAAUCUUCUUCAUGUAGCUUACCAUGAGAAGCAUCUCACUUGCAAUCUCUCUAAAGAAUAUUGGAAGAGGAACUUUGAUAUGGUAUUCUACAAUGCCAAUGCAUGGACUUUAUCAUUU
rnacentral:lncRNA from 1 species